rnacentral:rRNA from 1 species
CACGUAGGGUGCGAGCGUUGUCCGGAAUUAUUGGGCGUAAAGAGCUCGUAGGCGGUGUGUCGCGUCGGCCGUGAAAACCUGCAGCUUAACUGUGGGCUUGCGGUCGAUACGGGCAUCACUGGAGUUCGGCAGGGGAGACUGGAAUUCCUGGUGUAGCGGUGAAAUGCGCAGAUAUCAGGAAGAACACCGGUGGCGAAGGCGGUUCUCUGGGCAUUACCUGACGCUGAGGAGCGAAAGUGUGGGGAGCGAACAGG